rnacentral:miRNA from 1 species
GAAUGGAAGUGAGGAUGAGAUUGAGAGAGAGGAUGAGAGGUAGGAGUAACAAAAGUGAAAACAAAAUCUUGAAAGUGAAAACAAUUUGAAGUAGAUUUCUGUUUUUUGUUUUUGUUUUCAAUUUUGUUACUCCUCCUUCUCAUCCUCUCCUCUCAUCUUCCCUCUCAAUCCCAUUUC